UCGCUAAUCGGGACAGGGUGAGUCGGCCCCUAAGGCGAGGCAGAAAUGCGUAGUCGAUGGGAAACGGGUUAAUAUUCCUGUACUUCUUUAUAUUGCGAUGGGGGGACGGAGUAGGCUAGGCCAUCAGGGUGUUGGUGGUCCCUGUUUAAGGUUGUAGGCUGUGUGUUUAGGUAAAUCCGGACGCACUCUUUAAAUAGAAAAGCUGAGAGCUGAUGACGAGUGUCACUGCGAGGUGACGCGAAGUGGUUGAUGCCAUGCUUCCAAGAAAAGCCUCUAAGCUUCAGAUAUAAAGGAACCGUACUGUAAACCGACACAGGUGAUCAGGUAGAGAAUACCAAGGCGCUUGAGAGAACUCGGGUGAAGGAACUAGGCAAAUGUACCGUAACUUCGGGAGAAGGUACGCCGGUUUGGGUGAUGGGACUUGCUUCCUGAGCCUGGGCCGGCCGAAGUGACCAGGUGGCUGCGACUGUUUAUUAAAAACAUAGCACUGUGCAAACACGUAAGUGGACGUAUACGGUGUGACGCCUGCCCGGUGCCGGAAGGUUAAUUGAUGGGGUUAUCUUCGGAGAAGCUCUUGAUCGAAGCCCCGGUAAACGGCGGCCGUAACAAUAACGGUCCUAAGGUAGCGAAAUUCCUUGUCGGGUAAGUUCCGACCUGCACGAAUGGCGUAACGAUGGCCACACUGUCUCCACCCGAGACUCAGUGAAAUUGAAAUCGCUGUUAAGAUGCAGUGUACCCGCGGCUAGACGGAAAGACCCCGUGAACCUUUACUAUAGCUUCACACUGGACUUUGACCUUACUUGUGUAGGAUAGCUGGGAGGCUUUGAAGCGGUGGCGCCAGCCAUCGUGGAGCCAACCUUGAAAUACCAGCCUGGUAAUGUUGGGGUUCUAACUCAGGUCCGUAAUCCGGAUCGAGGACAGUGUGUGGUGGGUAGUUUGACUGGGGCGGUCUCCUCCCAAAGAGUAACGGAGGAGCACGAAGGUGCGCUAAUCACGGUCGGAAAUCGUGAGGUUAGUGUAAAGGCACAAGCGCGCUUGACUGCGAGUCUGACAAGACGAGCAGGUACGAAAGUAGGUCUUAGUGAUCCGGUGGUUCUGUAUGGAAGGGCCAUCGCUCAACGGAUAAAAGGUACUCCGGGGAUAACAGGCUGAUACCGCCCAAGAGUUCACAUCGACGGCGGUGUUUGGCACCUCGAUGUCGGCUCAUCACAUCCUGGGGCUGAAGCCGGUCCCAAGGGUAUGGCUGUUCGCCAUUUAAAGUGGUACGCGAGCUGGGUUUAGAACGUCGUGAGACAGUUCGGUCCCUAUCUGCCGUGGGCGUUGGAGAAUUGAGGGAAGCUGCUCCUAGUACGAGAGGACCGGAGUGGACGAACCGCUGGUGUUCGGGUUGUCAUGCCAAUGGCAUUGCCCGGUAACUACGUUCGGACAGGAUAACCGCUGAAAGCAUCUAAGCGGGAAGCCCCUCCCAAGAUAAGUUCUCCCUGACCCCUUGAGGGUCCUGAAGGGCCGUCCAAGACUAGGACGUUGAUAGGCUGGGUGUGUAAGCGUUGUAAGGCGUUGAGCUAACCAGUACUAAUUGCCCGUGAGGCUUGAC
rnacentral:rRNA from 1 species